rnacentral:lncRNA from 1 species
GACACUCAUCUCCCUCUCUCUAUCUGGUUCUCUCUAGAACCUACUCUUCUCCCAUCCGCUCCGAUAGACCCUGUCCACCUUCUCCGGCCACCUUCCUCGAUAGAAACCAUGGUUUCUCAUCAUCUCCUGGCCUAUGCUUCAUCCCACUAUGGUUUGACAUUACCCUGAGGUCCCUAGGUGAACCUAGCGUGAUUCAACUCCUAUCCAUAGUCUUUCAUGCCAUUCUCCAGCCAUCCAUGGCUAUUUGAGUAAAAUCUAUGACUUUUCCAGCUAAAACCGGU